rnacentral:rRNA from 1 species
UACGUAGGGUGCAAGCGUUGUUCGGAAUUACUGGGCGUAAAGGGCGCGUAGGCGGGUUUGCAAGUCGUCUGUGAAAUCCCCGGGCUUAACCUGGGAAUGGCAGGCGAAACUGCAGAUCUUGAGUGCUUGAGAGGUUGGCAGAAUUGCAGGUGUAGAAGUGAAAUUCGUAGAUAUCUGCAAGAACACCGGAGGCGAAGGCGGCUGACUGGCAAGACACUGACGCUAAGGCGCGAAAGCGUGGGGAUCAAACAGG